CACAAGCCAGGCCAGCAGAGAGCACUCCCAUGACACCUCCUGCAUCUCUCUACAGGGUCCUAUUCAGAGGGGUCCUUGGCCAAGCUGCAGCCCAAGCUUGGUGACAGAGAGGAGGAGGAGAAUGGCCUGGAGUCAACAGCAGAUGUCUCUGUGCUGGCUGGAGGUGACCCACUGGAUGGCUAUGAUGAUGCCAGGGACAUUGCUAACCCUGGGCAGGAGCCUAUGUUUAGACAGGGAGCCAGGGAAAUGCCCAGGGAGCCAGAGGAAGGAUCAGGACCCAGAGAUGUGGCUGGAGAUGGCUCAGUCCUGGCUGGAGGUGACCCAGUGGAUGGCUAUGAUGAUGCCAGGGAGAUGUCUGCCCCUGCACAGGAUCCUGUGUUUAGACAGGGAGACAGGGAAAUUCCCAGGGAGCCAGAGGAAGGAGCAGGACCCAGAGAUGUGUC